UCGAGAAUUUUUCACAAUGGGGGCAACCCUGAUGGAGCGACGCCGCGUGGAGGAUGAAGGCCUUCGGGUUGUAAACUCCUGUCAUGCGGGAACAAGCAAGUGAUAGUACCGCAAGAGGAAGAGACGGCUAACUCUGUGCCAGCAGCCGCGGUAAUACAGAGGUCUCAAGCGUUGUUCGGAUUCAUUGGGCGUAAAGGGUGCGUAGGUGGUGACGCAAGUCUGGUGUGAAAUCUCGGAGCUCAACUCCGAAAUUGCACCGGAUACUGCGUGACUCGAGGACUGUAGAGGAGAUCGGAAUUCACGGUGUAGCAGUGAAAUGCGUAGAUAUCGUGAGGAAGACCAGUUGCGAAGGCGGAUCUCUGGGCAGUUCCUGACACUGAGGCACGAAGGCCAGGGGAGCAAACGGGAUUAGAUACCCCGGUAGUCCUGGCAGUAAACGGUGCACGUUUGGUGUGGGCGGGUUCAGACCCCGUCCGUGCCGGAGACCG
rnacentral:rRNA from 1 species